GUGCUCGCUUCAGCAGCACAUAUACUAAAAUUAGAACAAUACAGAAGGUUAGCAUGACCCCU
rnacentral:snRNA from 1 species